rnacentral:rRNA from 1 species
GAUGAACGCUAGCGAUAGGCUUAACACAUGCCAGUCGAGGGGCAGCAUGGUCUUAGCUUGCUAAGACUGAUGGCGACCGGCGCACGGGUGCGUAACGCGUAUGCAACUUGCCUCACAGAGGGGGAUAACCCGUCGAAAGACGGACUAAUACCGCGUACACUCCAUCUUGGGCAUCCAAGGUAGAGGAAAUGAAAUUCGCUGUGAGAUAGGCAUGCGUCCCAUUAGCUAGUUGGUGAGGUAACGGCUCACCAAGGCGACGAUGGGUAGGGGAACUGAGAGGUUGAACCCCCACACUGGUACUGAGACACGGACCAGACUACUACGGGAGGCAGCAGUGAGGAAUAUUGGUCAAUGGGCGAGAGCCUGAACCAGCCAAGUCGCGUGAGGGAGGACUGUCUUAUGGAUUGUAAACUUCUUUUAUACGGGAAUAACAAGAGUCACGUGUGACUCCCUGCAUGUACCGUAUGAAUAAGCAUCGGCUAACUCCGUG